GAUGAAGAACGCAGCGAAAUGCGAUAAGUAAUGCGAAUUGCAGAAUUCAGUGAGUCAUCGAAUCUUUGAACGCACAUUGCGCCAUGUGGUAUUCCGCAGGGCAUGCCUGUUCGAGCGUCAUUUCAACCCUCAAGCCCCGCUUGGUGUUGGGCCCCGCCCGCCGUGGCCGGCCCUAAAGACAGUGGCGGCGCCGCCUGGCCCUCAGCGUAGUACAGCUCUCGCUCCAGGGUCCGGCGGCCGCCUGCCAGAACCCCCCCAACUCUGUGGUUGACCUCGGAUCAGGUAGGGAUACCCGCUGAACUUAAGCAUAUCAAUAAGCGGAGGA
rnacentral:misc_RNA from 1 species